rnacentral:rRNA from 1 species
CACGUAGGGGGCAAGCGUUGUCCGGCUUUAUUGGGCGUAAAGAGCUCGUAGGCGGCUCAGUAAGUCAGGUGUGAAACCUCCAGGCUCAACCUGGAGACGCCACCUGAUACUGCUGUGGCUAGAGUCCGGUAGGGGAGCGUGGAAUUCCUGGUGUAGCGGUGAAAUGCGCAGAUAUCAGGAGGAACACCAGCGGCGAAGGCGGCGCUCUGGGCCGGAACUGACACUGAGGGACGAAAGCUAGGGGAGCGAAUGGG